rnacentral:rRNA from 1 species
GACGAACGCUGGCGGCGUGCCUAAUACAUGCAAGUAGAACGCUGAAGAGAGGAGCUUGCUCUUCUUGGAUGAGUUGCGAACGGGUGAGUAACGCGUAGGUAACCUGCCUUGUAGCGGGGGAUAACUAUUGGAAACGAUAGCUAAUACCGCAUAACAAUGGAGGACCCAUGUCAUUUAUUUGAAAGGGGCAAAUGCUCCACUACAAGAUGGACCUGCGUUGUAUUAGCUAGUAGGUGAGGUAACGGCUCACCUAGGCGACGAUAAAUAGCCGACCUGAGAGGGUGAUCGGCCACACUGGGACUGAGACACGGCCCAGACUCCUACGAGAGGCAGCAGUAGGGAAUCUUCGGCAAUGGGGGCAACCCUGACCGAGCAACGCCGCGUGAGUGAAGAAGGUUUUCGGAUCGUAAAGCUCUGUUGUAAGUCAAGAACGAGUGUGAGAGUGGAAAGUUCACACUGUGACGGUAGCUUACCAGAAAGGGACGGCUAACUACGUG